UGAAUGGCGAUUGGAUCUAUGCUUCUAGCUGUAUCACUCGCCAUGAUGAGCUACACCAUUGAUUCAUUUUUUCACUUGCGUUGACCAGGAGCACUGGCAGCAACCACAUCAUGAAAGGGUCGAGGGAAGAUGCUCCGAUAUGCAUCAGUGAUAGCGAAGAGCUCAGGUUCGAGGACAAGGCCAACCUCAUGCAGUCGAUUAAGGUGAGUUUUCCCAUGGAUUCUAUACGUUCAGGUCCGGCCCUG